ACUGGAGUAGCUGCACUCUCAGGACCGCAUUUUUAGGACCGCAUCUUUAGGACCCUGUUUUUUUGUGACAGCGUCACCUGUCGGAUUGGAUCAUGACGACACGGAUGACAAGGAAAGUGCCAUCGUACAUGCUCUGGGUGUCUUGAGGAGCUGGUCUUUGGAUGAUGCUGAGCAGGUCUUUCUUUCUGGUAAAGAUUAUCAUUACAGGAGCUAAAGUCUACAGCCAGUCUGAAUGCAACAACUGAAUAAACAGUGGGGUCAUUUUUGUGGUUGAAUUGCAUUAAUAAAAAUAAAAGUGUGGAUAUUUAUAUAAAUGUACAUUCUUGAAUCAUCCUUGCGUCUUGUCUCUCUAAAACCUUUACAACCUGGUUUUAAAUUAGUAACUGCAAAUGCUGAUCCCAUUUGAUUUCAAUUUAUUUUCCUUAAUACUGAGCUAAUUAGUUCAAUGUAAUGGGGUUCAUCAAUAUUCAGUAUUUUUCAAGGAAUUUAAGACUUUUAAGGCACUCAACUCUAUUUAUUCAUUUAUAUUUUAGGUGUAAAUUCAUUUGUUUCAUUUUAAAAUAGUUACUUAAAGCAGGCGUUUUACACUUUAACCUCUGUAAUAAAAGUGCCUGAAAGUUUCCGCUAUAUAAUCCAAUUCGGUAGGUGGCGCAGUUACAAAACGGGUCCUAGAAAUGCAGUUUUACUAUGUCAUCCAAUCCGGUAGGUGGCGCUUCCGCAAAAAACUAGGGUCCUAAAAAUGCGGUCCUAAACAUGCGGUCCUGAGAGUGCAGCUACUCCAGUUGUGCAGGAUCAUACUAUUG